rnacentral:rRNA from 1 species
UACGUAGGGGGCGAGCGUUGCUCGGAAUGACUGGGCGUAAAGGGCGCGUAGGCGGCCAACUAAGUCAGACGUGAAAUCCCUCGGCUUAACCGGGGAACGGCCUCUGAUACUGGCUGGCUGGAGUUCGGGAGAGGGAUGCGGAAUUCCAGGUGUAGCGGUGAAAUGCGUAGAUAUCUGGAGGAACACCGGUGGCGAAGGCGGCAUCCUGGACCGACACUGACGCUGAGGAGCGAAAGCCAGGGGAGCAAACGGG